rnacentral:rRNA from 1 species
AUUGAACGCUGGCUGCAGGCCUAACACAUGCAAGUCGAGCGAGCGGAGGACGGGUGAGUAAUGUCUGGGAAACUGCCUGAUGGAGGGGGAUAACUACUGGAAACGGUAGCUAAUACCGCAUACCCUCAGAUGUGCCCAGCUGGGAUUAGCUAGUAGGUGUGGUAACGGCUCACCUAGGCGACGAUCCCUAGCUGGUCUGAGAUGAUGACCAGUCACACGGGCACUGAGACACGGUCCAGACUCCUACGGGAGUCAGCAGUGGUGAAUAUUGCACAAUGGGCGCAAGCCUGAUGCAGCCAUGCCGCUUGGGUGAAGAAGGCCGUCGGGUUGUAAAGCACUUGCAGCGGGGAGGCGUUACUCGCAGAAUAAGCACCGGCUAACUCUGUGCCAGCAGCCGCGGUAAUUC